GCCAGCAUGGCAUAGUGGUCUGAGUGUUGGACUGUGACUCUAGAGACCAAGGAUCAAUUCCCAGCUCAGCCA